rnacentral:lncRNA from 1 species
AAUAAUAUGACUGUUGGAAUGGAUAAGACCAAUGACUUGGCGUGGCUAUCGAAACGGUCGGAACCCUCAACUGUGAGAGUCUUCAUGUCACUCGUAUUCCUCACUUGAGGCUUUUGGUAGGAUUAGGCUUGGGUUGAACAUCAUGAGGACAUUCAUUCCAAAGUGUAACUUCGACCCCCUUUAACAGUACGGUGUUCCUAUUACUCAAAUGCGAAGAAAAUAAAACAGAAAGUGUAAAUCUUCAAGCUUCAAAUUCUUCAGAGUGAUUUUCUUGAGGACACACCGGAUUCCUCGAUAUCAGUAUCUUGAUGAGGAAUAUCAAUUUCAUCGCAGAUUCCUCGCGAUUCAUUUCUUCAGCUUCAGACCAAUUUCUUCAACUGAAGACAUAUAUUUUUAGGGGUCGAUAUUCUUCAAAUAUCUCAAACUCCUCAAUGACUUAUAGAUCCUGUGUACACUCACAAACACAUUAGAUACUUAACCUAUAAGUCUUCAAACAACCAAAAUCACUAAGGGGCACUAGAUGCACUUACACACUCGGACUAAUCCCAUGUAUGGUAUUUUAGAAGUAAACACUCAGAACCAGUACACACCCAUUUUUCCACCCCGAAGACCUGACUCACCAGGACUAUGGUGCCAUGGAAAAACCAUAAGACAGGGAGUCUCCAACCUCGACUAGCA